UUCCAGACUCCUACGGGAGGCAGCAGUGGGGGAUAUUGGACAAUGGGGGAAACCCUGAUCCAGCGACGCCGCGUGAGUGAAGAAGUAUUUCGGUAUGUAAAGCUCUGUCAGCAGGGAAGAAAGAAAUGACGGUACCUUAGGAAUAAGCCUCGGCUAACUACGUGCCAGCAGCCGCGGUAAUACGUAGGAGGCAAGCGUUAUCCGGAAUGACUGGGCGUAAAGGGUGCGUAGGUGGUUUGGCAAGUUAGUAGCGUAACUCCGGAGCUUAACUUCGGAACUACUACUAAAACUGUCGGACUUGAGUGCAGGAGGGGCAACUGGAAUUCCUAGUGUAGCGGUGAAAUGCGUAGAUAUUAGGAGGAACACCAGUGGCGAAGGCGGCUUACUGGACUGUAACUGACGUUGAGGCUCGAAAGCGUGGGGAGCAAACAGGAUUAGAUACCCCAGUAGUG
rnacentral:rRNA from 1 species